UACGGAGGGUGCAAGCGUUGCUCGGAAUUAUUGGGCGUAAAGGGCAGGUAGGUGGUCUCAUUUGUCUGGGGUGAAAGCCUUGAGCUUAACUCAAGAAGUGCCCCAGAAACGGUGAGACUAGAGUCUUGGAGAGGGUCGUGGAAUUCCCGGUGUAGCGGUGAAAUGCGUAGAGAUCGGGAGGAACACCAGAGGCGAAGGCGGCGACCUGGACAAGUACUGACACUCAACUGCGAAAGCGUGGGGAGCAAAC
rnacentral:rRNA from 1 species